GUGCCUAACACAUGCAAGUCGAACGAGAAAGGGGAGCAAUCCCUGAGUAAAGUGGCGACCGGGUGAGUAACACGUGACUAACCUACCCUCGAGUGUGGAAUAACAUCGGGAAACCGAUGCUAAUACCGCAUAACAUCGCAAGAUCAAAGGAGCAAUCCGCUUGAGGAGGGGGUCGCGGCUGAUUAGCUAGUUGGCGGGGUAACGGCCCACCAAGGCGAAGAUCGGUAUCCGGCCUGAGAGGGCGCACGGACACACUGGAACUGAAACACGGUCCAG
rnacentral:rRNA from 1 species